AUGAACGCUGGCGGCGUGCCUAAUACCUGCAAGUCGAGCGAACAGACGAGGAGCUUGCUCCUCUGACGUUAGCGGCGGACGGGUGAGUAACACGUGGAUAACCUACCUAUAAGACUGGGAUAACUUCGGGAAACCGGAGCUAAUACCGGAUAAUAUAUUGAACCGCAUGGUUCAAUAGUGAAAGACGGUUUUGCUGUCACUUAUAGAUGGAUCCGCGCCGCAUUAGCUAGUUGGUAAGGUAACGGCUUACCAAGGCAACGAUGCGUAGCCGACCUGAGAGGGUGAUCGGCCACACUGGAACUGAGACACGGUCCAGACUCCUACGGGAGGCAGCAGUAGGGAAUCUUCCGCAAUGGGAAAGCCUGACGGAGCAACGCCGCGUGAGUGAUGAAGGUCUUCGGAUCGUAAAACUCUGUUAUUAGGGAAGAACAAAUGUGUAAGUAACUAUGCACGUCUUGACGGUACCUAAUCAGAAAGCCACGGCUAACUACGUG
rnacentral:rRNA from 1 species